rnacentral:rRNA from 1 species
AGCGAACGCUGGCGGCGUACUUAACACAUGCAAGUCGAACGGGGAUCAUCGGGUUAGCAAUAACUCGGUGGUCCUAGUGGCGCACGGGUGAGUAACACGUGGGUAACCUGCCCUGGAGACCGGGAUACCCCCUCGAAAGGGGGGCGUAAUACCGGAUACGUUCCCUGGAUCGAGAGGUCUGGGGAGGGAAAGGUGGCGAAAGCUGCCGCUCUUGGAGGGGCUCGCGGCCUAUCAGCUAGUUGGCGGGGUAACGGCCCACCAAGGCUAUGACGGGUAGCUGGUCUGAGAGGACGACCAGCCACACGGGGACUGAGACACGGCCCCGACUCCUACGGGAGGCAGCAGUGGGGAAUUUUCCGCAAUGGGCGAAAGCCUGACGGAGUGACGCCGCGUGUGGGACGAAGGCCUUCGGUCGGUAACC